rnacentral:lncRNA from 1 species
AGACAAGCAGACCCGGCGCAUAAUGAGGUAGCAGCCUCCAGCCGGCCACCGUGACUAACUCAGAACAAAAGCGCUCCCUCCACGCCUCCUCCAACAAAGGGGCCACCAGCCCCGGCGCUCCCCGAAGGCUGCGGGGCUCCCGGCUGCCGGCUGCGGAGCUGCCGCGCGCAAACUUCCCGGGGCUCCCGGGGCUGCCGGCGCCACGGAGCCGGGGCCGCGGAGGGAGGAAGCGCAAGCCGCCCGGAGAAAGCAGGGAUGUUGCUCUUGGAGAAUGUGAAGACAGUUUGCUUCUUGACAAGCGAGCGAACGGGCGCCCAGAUUUUUGCAGCCUUUCCGAGUCUCCCCCGAGGGAGAGGCGGCAGAGAAAACGCCGGAUUUGGGAGCCACCAGGGAAGGAUCCGCGCAGGGGAGCCGCCCUCCUUGGCCCCAGACCCGCCUGCCUGGGGCCCCCUUUGCUCACUGUCAAUGUAUGGUCUGAAGCUCUGAGGAUGGUGCUGGGGACUGGGGUCGGGGGAAGCCUCUUGAAUAAUAACUGCAAAGAAGAAAGAGGCGAGAACGUCUCCCUAACCUUGAAGCAGAAAGGACUGUGUUCUUAAAGCUGUUGGCUGCAGUCACAGGGCCAGUUGCCCGCCUCUGUUCCCUGAGUAAAGUGUAACAUCUUCUGUCCUCCUGGCUUGCUUGCACCAUUCAGCAAAUUAUACUCCUUCCUUACCAAAGUGGGAAUGCUCAGGGAAGUGUGUGUGUGUGUGUGUGUGUGUGUGUGUCCCCUCUGCACUGAGGCUGCUGUUAGAGAUGUUACCAAUUUAAACCUUCCAGAAUCCUGGAGGUUUACAUUUUGUAAAGGGAGGGGACACUCCUGGACUGUCACAAUCCCAAUUCUGGUUAGAGUGGCAGGGACUGAACAAAGCCACCAACAUGCAAAAGUCCAUCUCCAGAGUAGCAUGCAUGCCCCCAGGAAACCCCCAGUGGGAUAUGCUUCCUGCACUUUCCCCUUCUCUCUAACCUCUGUCUCCUGUUUGUAAGGCAGAGGAAGGGUGAUUCCUUGCCACUGCACAGGAAUGCAGGGUUAGGGUUAUCUCCAAGAAAGGGUGGGGUGAGGCUGAGU